GCUGGCACGGGUAUGGACUUUGCGCGGCCUGCCCCUGAGGGGAAACCUGGCGGAGCAGACCCCGGGGUAGGCCGCACUACUGCGCAGAGGCCGCUGUUGGGUAAUCGGGGCCGGGUGUUUAUUUAUGCUCAGCAGCGGUGCGUCCUGCAUGGGAAGGCUGUGGAAGGGACAGAGGGAGGGCGGGGAAGGACCGAGAGGCAGCAGCUGAGGCUCAGGGCAUUCAUUUCAAUCGAGAAUGUUUCCUUCCUGUGCCUUAUCUUGUUUCCUGCCUGCUUAAAGAAUGCCACCCUUUAAUGCUGUUUGAGAGCAGGCGCUGCUUCAGGGGCGGCCAGUCCUUUAAAGCUAACACUGCUGGAGUGGCAGAAGUAGUGGAUGCUUGCAGUCUAUCGGGAACUCUGAAAAGCUGAGGAACAAAUAAAAAGAUGUUUCUGAUAGCGCAGUGUGUGCUGUGGCAUUUUCUUGUAAACAUUCACUACUGUGGCUUGAGCUCACCAUAUCCUGAUCUGCCUCUGCUUGCCUGGAAUGCACCACUCCCUUUAAGCCUUUCCUGGAGUGAGCCAUUGUCUCUUUACCCUGGAAUUCAAGAGAAGAGGCUUAAAUUGCUACUGUCUGGUAGCUGUACAAAAAAAAAAAUCCCGUGCCUGAAGACAGGAGAGGGAAGGCUGUGGAGAUUGAAGGUGGCUGAAAUUAGUAUGGAAUGUGGAUGUGAAAUGUCUGAAAUCAGUAGAGAAUGCAGCCGCAAAAUAAACACUGUGGGCAUGUGUAGGACCCAGGACAAAUGGACUGAGGAGUGUGUGGGAAGUAGUAGGUUUGGCUGCACCAAUAAAGGUGUAGAGGAGAUGGACUUAUGAGUAUUGGACGCCUGAAAUAAGCUGGGAGGGUAGAACCAGAACCUAUGAAUUGUGGGGUUCUUAAUUCAUAGCUGUCAUAAUACAAUAAAGACAUUUCUAGUUUCCAUGA